AGAGUUUGAUCCUGGCUCAGAUUGAACGCUGGCGGCAUGCCUUACACAUGCAAGUCGAACGGCAGCACGGGGGCAACCCUGGUGGCGAGUGGCGAACGGGUGAGUAAUGCAUCGGAACGUGCCCAGUAGUGGGGGAUAACCCGGCGAAAGCCGGGCUAAUACCGCAUACGACCUGAGGGUGAAAGGGGGGGCUCGCAAGACCUCUCGCUUUUGGAGCGGCCGAUGUCCGAUUAGCUAGUUGGUGGGGUAAUGGCCCACCAAGGCUGCGAUCGGUAGCUGGUCUGAGAGGAUGAUCAGCCACACUGGGACUGAGACACGGCCCAGACUCCUACGGGAGGCAGCAGUGGGGAAUUUUGGACAAUGGGGGCAACCCUGAUCCAGCCAUGCCGCGUGCGGGAAGAAGGCCUUCGGGUUGUAAACCGCUUUUAGCCGGGACGAAAGCUGUACGGAUAACACCCGUGCAGGUUGACGGUACCGGCGGAAUAAGCACCGGCUAACUACGUGCCAGCAGCCGCGGUAAUACGUAGGGUGCGAGCGUUAAUCGGAAUUACUGGGCGUAAAGCGUGCGCAGGCGGUUCGUUGUGUCGGCGGUGAAAGCCCCGGGCUCAACCUGGGAAUGGCCGUUGAAACUGGCGAACUGGAGUGUGGCAGAG
rnacentral:rRNA from 1 species